rnacentral:rRNA from 1 species
GACGAACGCUGGCGGCGUGCUUAACACAUGCAAGUCGAACGGAAAGGCCCUGCUUUUGUGGGGUGCUCGAGUGGCGAACGGGUGAGUAACGCGUGAGUAACCUGCCCUUGACUUUGGGAUAACUUCAGGAAACUGGGGCUAAUACCGGAUAGGAGCUCCUGCUGCAUGGUGGGGGUUGGAAAGUUUCGGCGGUUGGGGAUGGACUCGCGGCUUAUCAGCUUGUUGGUGGGGUAGUGGCUUACCAAGGCUUUGACGGGUAGCCGGCCUGAGAGGGUGACCGGCCACAUUGGGACUGAGAUACGGCCCAGACUCCUACGGGAGGCAGUAGUGGGGAAUAUUGCACAAUGGGCGGAAGCCUGAUGCAGCAACGCCGCGUGCGGGAUGACGGCCUUCGGGUUGUAAACCGCUUUCGCCUGUGACGAAGCGUGAGUGACGGUAAUGGGUAAAGAAGCACCGGCUAACUACGUG